rnacentral:lncRNA from 1 species
AAUAUUUGAGUGGAGAAAACAUCUACUCAUUGACAUACUUACCUAGAGAAGAUAAUACUUAUAAAGAGGUCAGCAAGUUCUUAACACAAAGUAACUAACAUAAAUUGGGAAGAAGAUUCUGAGAUAGAGAUUUCCUAGGGGAUGCUCUCAAGAAUGACAUAUAGAAGGAGUGUGACGUCAGGAAUAGCAGAAGAAGCAACCGAGCUGGGAUAUAGCUGCAACAGAGGCCUAAGGGAUUCUGGGACCCCACAGUUUUAUGAAUUGAGACAAAAUUCCUGGGUCUUUGCUAUCUUACUGGAAAUGCCCAUCUGUUGUGGUAGUUCCUUGGGGAGGACCACACAACUUGGGUAAAUUGAGUAAGAUGGCUUCUAAAGGUGACAGCAAUUGCUGUGAAUGAACUCAGCUGUUAACCUGUAGCAAGCUCUGAUCCUGGAAGAUGAAAGUGUCUCCAUCCUGAGACUUGAUCUGGCAGCACAUGCCAUCAUCCCUUCCUGUAAGUACUUUAUAGAUCCUAAGAGGUAUCAUUAUUAUGGUUCAUUAUCUAUUGAUUUGUUUCAUUAGAAUGACCAACAGACAUUUUGAGUCACUGUAGCACAGGAAACACAAUCAUCUCCUUGUAGAAUGAUAAAUGACCUCAUCCAGUCUUGGAUAUUUUGAACUAUAAUGUUUGCCUACAUAUUUUCUAAUCUAUCAAAACCUCUUGCAAAAUGGUACAACCUGACCUGGGUGUUCUGGGUCAUCACUUUUUUUGUUAUCAUUGUUCUGGGCACGGUGC